rnacentral:rRNA from 1 species
AUUCGCGGCCUAUCAGCUUGUUGGUGGGGUAGUGGCCUACCAAGGCGACGACGGGUAGCCGGCCUGAGAGGGCGACCGGCCACACUGGGACUGAGACACGGCCCAGACUCCUACGGGAGGCAGCAGUGGGGAAUAUUGCGCAAUGGGCGAAAGCCUGACGCAGCGACGCCGCGUGAGGGAUGACGGCCUUCGGGUUGUAAACCUCUUUCAGCAGGGACGAAGCGCGAGUGACGGUACCUGCAGAAGAAGCACCGGCUAACUACGUGCCAGCAGCCGCGGUAAUACGUAGGGUGCGAGCGUUGUCCGGAAUUAUUGGGCGUAAAGAGCUCGUAGGCGGUUUGUCGCGUCGACUGUGAAAACCUACAGCUUAACUGUGGGCUUGCAGUCGAUACGGGCAGACUUGAGUUCGGUAGGGGAGACUGGAAUUCCUGGUGUAGCGGUGAAAUGCGCAGAUAUCAGGAGGAACACCGGUGGCGAAGGCGGGUCUCUGGGCCGAUACUGACGCUGAGGAGCGAAAGCGUGGGGAGCGAACAGGAUUAGAUACCCUGGUAGUCCACGCCGUAAACGGUGGGAACUAGGUGUGGGGGGCUUCCACGUCCUCCGUGCCGUAGCUAACGCAUUAAGUUCCCCGCCUGGGGAGUACGGAAU